GCACCACUAGCUCAAUUGGUAGAGCAGCUGACUCUUAAUCAGUUUGUUGUGGGUUCAAGUCCCUCGUGGUGUA
rnacentral:tRNA from 1 species